GCCAUGCAUGUCUAAGUACAACGUCUCUGUAUGUGAAACCGCGAAUGGCUCAUUAAAUCAGUUAUUGUUUAUUUGAUGAUCGAAUCUACUUGGAUAACCGUGGUAAUUCUAGGGCUAAUACAUGCUGGUGUUCCCGACUGCUUUUAGCGGAAGGGAGGCUUUUAUUAGGACAACGACCAAUGCUUGCUUGUCAUGACUCUGGAUAACAAAACGAAUCGCUCCGGCCUUGUGCCGCGAUGAAUCAUUCAAAGUUUCUGCCUUAUCAACUUUCGAUGGUAGUGUAUUGGACUACCAUGGCUAUAACGGGUAACGGGGAAUCAGGGUUCGAUUCCGGAGAGGGAGCCUGAGAAACGGCUACCACAUCCAAGGAAGGCAGCAGGCGCGCAAAUUACCCAAUCCCGGAUCGGGGAGGUAGUGACGAAAAAUAACAAUACAGGACUCUUUCGAGAAGCGGCGAUUGCAAUGAGUACACUUUAAAUCCUUUAACGAGUAACGAUUGGAGGGCAAGUCUGGUGCCAGCAGCCGCGGUAAUUCCAGCUCCAAUAGCGUAUAUUAAAGUUGUUGCAGUUAAAAAGCUCGUAGUUGGAUCUCCGGACGGACGGCUUCGAUGGGCGAGCGGAUUGACCCUGCUCGUCAAGUCAAGCUUUCGUCUAUUCUUCUUCAAGCGCACGAGUCUUCACUGAUCGAGUGCGCAGGAGGGAAUGUUUUACUUUGAGAAAUUAGAGUGUUCAAAGCAGGCAGUAGCGCCUGAAUAAUGGUGCAUGGAAUAAUGGAAUAGGACCUCGGUCUUCGUCGUCUGUUGGUCUUCGGGACGAAGUAAUGAUUAAGAGGGACAGCCGGGGGCACUAGUACUCGAGCGCGAGAGGUGAAAUUCUCAGACCGCUCGAAGACUAACUACGGCGAAAGCAUCUGCCAAGGAUGUUUUCAUUAAUCAAGAACGAAAGUUGGGGGAUCGAAGACGAUCAGAUACCGUCGUAGUCUCAACUAUAAACGGUGCCAACUGGCAAUCCGGGGCGAGAGUUAUUCGCCUCGGGCAGCUGACGGGAAACCCAAGUGUUUGGGCUCCGGGGGAAGUAUGGUUGCAAAGCUGAAACUUAAAGGAAUUGACGGAAGGGCACCACCAGGCGUGGAGCCUGCGGCUUAAUUUGACUCAACACGGGGAACCUCACCCGGCCCGGACACCGCAAGGAUUGACAGGUUGAGAGCUCUUUCUUGAUUCGAUGGGUGGUGGUGCAUGGCCGUUCUUAGUUGGUGGAGCGAUUUGUCUGGUUAAUUCCGAUAACGAACGAGACUCGAGCCUGCUAAAUAGUGCCGGUCAUCUGUAUGGCCGUGCACUUCUUAGAGGGAUGAUUGGCCUACCAAACCAAAUGAAAUCGAGCAAUAACAGGUCUGUGAUGCCCUUAGAUGUUCGGGGCCGCACGCGCGCUACACUGACGAGGGCAGCAAGCACCUCUUUGCCCGCGAAAGUUGGCAAGUACCCUUGUGAAACCUUGUCGUGCCAGGGAUAGGGAGUUGUAAUUCUCUCCCUUGAACGAGGAAUGCCUAGUAAGCGCAAGUCAUCAGCUUGCGUUGAUUACGUCCCUGCCCUUUGUACACACCGCCCGUCGCUAGUACCGAUUUCGAGUGGUUCGGUGAGACCUUCGGACCGAGCUCAGAUCCAUUCUGAGUUUAGGAAGAUGAUCAAACUUGAUUGUUUAGAGGAAGUAAAAGUCGUAACAAGGUUU
rnacentral:rRNA from 1 species